GUGGGGAAUAUUGGACAAUGGGCGCAAGCCUGAUCCAGCCAUGCCGCGUGAGUGAUGAAGGCCCUAGGGUUGUAAAGCUCUUUCACCGGUGAAGAUAAUGACGGUAACCGGAGAAGAAGCCCCGGCUAACUUCGUGCCAGCAGCCGCGGUAAUACGAAGGGGGCUAGCGUUGUUCGGAUUUACUGGGCGUAAAGCGCACGUAGGCGGAUCGUUAAGUCGAGGGUGAAAUCCUGGAGCUCAACUCCAGAACUGCCUUCGAUACUGGCGAUCUUGAGUCCGGAAGAGGUGAGUGGAACUCCUAGUGUAGAGGUGGAAUUCAUAGAUAUUAGGAAGAACACCAGUGGCGAAGGCGUCUCACUGGUCCGGUACUGACGCUGAGGUGCGAAAGCGUGGGGAGCAAACAGGAUUAGAAACCCUUGUAGUCC
rnacentral:rRNA from 1 species